GACGUUAGCUCAGUUGGUAGAGCAACUGACUCUUAAUCAGUGGGUCUAGGGUUCGAAUCCCU
rnacentral:tRNA from 1 species